rnacentral:rRNA from 1 species
GACGAACGCUGGCGGCGUGCCUAAUACAUGCAAGUCGAACGGAGUGGGGACGGGUGAGUAACACGUGGGUAAUCUCCCAUAAGAGGGGAUAACACUUGGCAACAGGUGCUAAACCGCUACUGAUGGAUGAACCCGCGGUGCCUUAGCUAGUUGGUGAGGUAACGGCUCACCUAGGCCACGAUGCAUAGCCGGUCUGAGAGGGUGAUCGGCCAAACUGGGACUGAGACACGGCCCAGACUCCUACGAGAGGCAGCAGUAGGGAAUCUUCGGCAAUGGACGAAAGUCUGACCGAGCAAUGCCGCGUGAGUGAAGAAGGUUUUCGGAUCGUAAAGCUCUUUUGUUAGAGAAGCGGUAUCUGACCAAAAAGCCACGGCUAACUACGUGCCAGCAGCCGCGGUAAUUC